rnacentral:lncRNA from 1 species
CCUGCAUGGAACUGCCAUACUUCGCUGAGGGAAUAUCUACUAAGUAACGUUCUUCAGGGGCAGCCCCACUUUAUAUCAGAGAAUGAAGCUCUACAUCGAGGACAUGUGAAAUCACGGCCAUCUCACUCUUUGCGCUGGGCAUGUGCUGCAUUUGACGAGUUGCAGCUGCAUCAGCAAAAGCUAAUGGGUUUGGUGAAUGGACCAACCAGACCCUCAAGACUGCCAUGGGCAAGUCCCUUGAUUGCUACCAGAAAGGGUGGGAGAAAAACCUGAAGGUAAUUCUCUUUGCUCACAACAGCAGCAUCCAGGCCUCCACCGAAUACGGACGGGAACUGCAGCUGUUGACUGAGUUGUUGAACCAGAUCAGAACGCCUUCAAGGACCACCUUCAGGCACGGACUGAGAAGGAUGUGGAGGUUUUUGAUCAGACUGAACAUGGACAGGGCGAAGGAGAAACAGAAGGAGAGCUACUGGAGCAGAAUCAAGAAGGGGACCAAGUGCUUCGACAUAUGGGCAAAUUACUUGGUUUGGAAGAAGGACAAAAAGAAGGCGAGACCUGGGAAACCUCGCAGCUCUUUCGCUCCUAGAUGGGGUCACUAUCUGAUAAAGUGAAUAUAAAAAAUCUUGGUGGAAGCCAACAAUCUUCUACAGUUGGAGCAGUUGGAUGGUCGGCCACUGAAAGCACUGACUUCAGUGAAGCCCAAUGCUGAGCAUAUAAAAAUGUACCUCUUCAAUUUACCUCUCCAAAUGACUUUAGGACCAUCGACUGUCCGAGAUUCUCAGGAGGUUUGGCAUCCACCAGAACCAGUGAGUUUGAAUCAGUCUGAUUCUCUGUGCUCUGAGUCGGAGGUGGACCAGCUUGAGGACCUAUGGGUUCUGCCCAACACCCAGACGUGGAUCCACCUGAUGUCCUCCAUUACCAACCACCCUCCAACUUUUCAUUACAUCAUCUACAGUUACUGUUGUUGUCAUUAUCUGCAAAGAAAGUUUUCUUGCUCUAUCACAUAAUAUGUGAGAUACACAGAUGAACUAAAAACACUAGCACUACAAACACUCAGAACAAAUAGAGAAGCAGUGCCUGCUUUUUGCAGACUCCCUCUUCAAGUCCCCCUUCCAAGACUGGCUGCCUGUUGAGAACAAGUGACAGGCAGAACCUCCCAUUCACACAGCAAGCACCUCCUCUUUAUUCCACACACAAGAAUUCAAUAUUAUAGUCUAUGAUUGCCAUGUGAGUGUACAAAAACAAUUAAUGACACAACUGUACUAAAAACUAUCAAAGUUUAUGUAUUUAAAUAUUGCCAGGUUGGUUUUCACAGGUGUGUCACAAGGUGCUCAUUAUUGUAAGUUGUAAGGUAUCAUUUGAUGGUAUUUAUUUGUUCCACAUUAUUCAUUGUUGUAUUUUAGGACCUACAAUAGAUACACUAACUCAGAAAAAAAAGAAACGUCCUCUCACUGUCAACUUCAUUUUGAAUGGCCCUAGCCCUCACCCUCCGAUCCGACAGGUCCCAGAUGUACUCAAUGGGAUUGAGAUCCGGGCUCUUCGCUGGCCAUGGCAGAACACUGACAUUCCUGUCUUGCAAGAAAUCACGCACAGAACGAGCAGUAUGGCUGGUGGCAUUGUCAUGCUGGAGGGUCAUGUCAGGAUAAGCCUGCAGGAAGGGUACCACAAUGAGGGAGGAGGAUGUCUUCCCUGUAACGCACAGCAUUGAGAUUGCCUGCAAUGACCACAACCUCAGUCCGAUGAUGCUGUGACACACCGCCCCAGACCAUGACGAACCCUCCACCUCCAAAUCGAUCCCGCUCCAGAGUACAGGCCUCGGUGUAACGCUCAUUCCUUCGACGAUAAACACAAAUCCGACGAUCACACCUGAUGAGACAAAACCGUGAUGAGUGAUGAGUGCUUUUUGCCAGUCCUGUCUGGUCCAGCAACGGUGGGUUUGUGCCCAUAGGCAACGUUGUUGCCGGUGAUUUCUGGUGAGGACCUGCCUUACAACAGGCCUACAAGCCUUCAGUCCAGCCUCUCUCAGCCUAUUGCGGACAGUCUGAGCACUGAUGGAGGGAUUGUGUGCUCCUGGUGUAACUCAGGCAGUUGUUGUUGGCAUCCUGUACUUGUCCCAUAGAUGUGAUGUUUGGAUGUACCGAUCCUGUACAGGUGUUGUUACACGUGAUCUGCCACUGCGAGGACGAUCAGCUGUCUGUCCUGUCUCCCUGUAGCUCUGUCUUAGGCGUCUCACAGUACGGACAUUGCAAUUUAUUGCCCUGGCCACAUCUGCAGCAUGCCUAAGGCACGUUCACGCAGGUGAGCAGGGACCCUGGGCAUCUUUAUUUUGGUAUUUUUCAGAGUCAGUAGAAAGGACUCUUUAGUGUCCUAAGUUUUCAUAACUGUGACCUUAAUUGCCUACCGUCUGUAAGCUGUUACUGCCUUAGCGACCGUUCCACAGGUGCGUGUUCAUUAAUUGUUUAUGGUUUAUUGAAGAAGCAUGGAAACAGUGUUUAAACCCUUUACAAUGACGAUCUGUGAAGUUAUUUAGAUUUUUACCAAUUAUCUUUGAAAGACAGGGUCAUGAAAAAGGGACGUUUAUUUUGUUGCUGAGUUUAUAUGCGGGAAUUUUGCAAAUACGGGCCUUUUUGUGCUCAGGGUUAGAUUUUUAAGGUAAAAUGUCAAUUACAUAUUUUUUAUUUCGCCGCGAUUAAGUAGAAACUAAAAUAGCCUUUUUUUCAGCUUUAAAAAUGUUUUUUUAUUUUUUAUUUUCUUAAGCAUUUCAUGUAUGGAUUUCACUGUUUUGCACUGUUUUUGUCCUGUCUCUACAGAUUUUGACAUUCUUCAAUGUAUUACACUUUCAAAAUCUUGAUAAUUACAAAAUAUUUAAUGCACCUGUUUCCAU